UUAGGUUACAUUAAUUUACUGGUGCUUUGGCCAUCUCUUCUCUCUUCUUUCUCUCUGAAACUUGAUUGGAAACCCUUACACUCGAUCCCAAUUUGUUUGUCUCUUCUUUCAGUAUCGUUCCAUCUCAAUCCGUCUUAGCCUCAAUUCCUCUAUGUCUCAAUCCCACUCAGUCCCAAUCUUCAGUUUCAUUUUCGAUCUACAAAGCCCUCUUAAUUGUCACAUGGAUCGAUCCAAAUGAAAUUGGUGAAGUCAAAACUUACUUAUAAAGGAAAAUUUAAGUUAAGUUUCAGUAGAAGCUGAUAAUAUGUUGUGUUGGGUGUUGUGUUGAUAAUCGUGUUGUGUUGCCGAGGGCUCCUGAUUUCUAUAAGCUAAGUUGAGAAGACGUUGUUGGACUUAUGGAGUUUGAGGUAUCUCAUACAGAUAUAAACAAAAGCAGCUUUAAGCAAGAUGUGCUCUGAUUAAGGCAAUGCCUGUUUAGCAUAAUAUACCAGUACAAUGGGUAUGGUCUCACUAGGAGAAAGUUGAUGUAUCAAGAAGAGAAUGUUGUCCAAGAACAGCAAAAACCGCAAGCCACCAUAAGAUGAAAAGAAGUUUGAAAUUGAAUUGAUAUGUUUUUUUUUCUCUUCUUUCUUUCAAUGGCUGCCCUCAAACCAUUGAUUAAUGAAUUAUAUGGUGUGGUUAUUGAUCCUGUUUAGUUUAUUGGAUUUUUUUUUAAUCAA